rnacentral:rRNA from 1 species
AGAGUUUGAUCCUGGCUCAGAUUGAACGCUGGCGGCAGGCUUAACACAUGCAAGUCGAGCGGAGAUGAGGUGCUCGCACCUUAUCUUAGCGGCGGACGGGUGAGUAAUGCUUAGGAAUCUGCCUAUUAGUGGGGGACAACAUUCCGAAAGGAAUGCUAAUACCGCAUACGUCCUACGGGAGAAAGCAGGGGAUCUUCGGACCUUGCGCUAAUAGAUGAGCCUAAGUCGGAUUAGCUAGUUGGUGGGGUAAAGGCCCACCAAGGCGACGAUCUGUAGCGGGUCUGAGAGGAUGAUCCGCCACACUGGGACUGAGACACGGCCCAGACUCCUACGGGAGGCAGCAGUGGGGAAUAUUGGACAAUGGGGGGAACCCUGAUCCAGCCAUGCCGCGUGUGUGAAGAAGGCCUUAUGGUUGUAAAGCACUUUAAGCGAGGAGGAGGCUACUGAGACUAAUACUCUUGGAUAGUGGACGUUACUCGCAGAAUAAGCACCGGCUAACUCUGUGCCAGCAGCCGCGGUAAUACAGAGGGUGCGAGCGUUAAUCGGAUUUACUGGGCGUAAAGCGUGCGUAGGCGGCUUUUUAAGUCGGAUGUGAAAUCCCCGAGCUUAACUUGGGAAUUGCAUUCGAUACUGGGAAGCUAGAGUAUGGGAGAGGAUGGUAGAAUUCCAGGUGUAGCGGUGAAAUGCGUAGAGAUCUGGAGGAAUACCGAUGGCGAAGGCAGCCAUC